CAGACGACAGUGCCGUGCCAAUGGUGUCGUCUGCAACGUGUGAAGUAUCUCAUUCCAUAGCAGACGACAGUGCCGUGCCAAUGGUGUCGUCUGCUACGUGUGUAGUAUUUGAUUUCCACAUAUUCCAGCUACGUACGCAUACUCAACAUGAAACGCGGCGAAGCUUCUGCACGUGUUCCCAUGAAGACACUACGAGGUCACCAUACGUGACCUCGAACAGUACCUGGACUGGACCCCGUGAACAUCCAUUGAUGACAUCACCGCCAUGGGCCAUGACAAUCACCGUAUGCGACGUAUCCGAUGCGCAGACAAAGACGAGAAGGUCGGAGAGGAGAAAAGGAAAAAGAAGACAAAAGAUCCCUUCCGCAAGUCGAAAGCAUGAACAUGGGAAAAGUUAACGACUAGCAGGUUUACGACCCCGAGGAAGUAACUCACACACGGAUUAGUGGCAGCGGUUCAAGGACUACACGGAGGGUGUUGCUUUUAACUACUGCGAACAAAUUUGACAGGAAACUGUCAAAACCCGUCGGAACUAAUCGCCCGUGUAAGCUGAUCAUUCCGUUUGCACACAAGAGUCUCGUCGAGGUGCGAUUUAUCCAACAACGAACGAUUUGCACACUUCGCCCAAACAAAAACAAAGUUUGUGUCCGUCAUAGACGCUAUCAGAGUGUCGAUCAGUGUGAUACUGCGCUACAUCGGGUGCGCUGAGACAACUGAAGACAUACGAUCCUGCUGGUGACGUCGAUACGAAGCGAGCUGAUAAAUCACGUAGAAAAUGCUCAACUUACUUUCUUUGUAAACAGUCCCACUCCAGUGUUGUAAAAUAACGCGCCAUCGUUAAAAAAAAGAUGGCAGACACUGAUAGCGCCCCCUCAGCUCAUUCAUCACUAGAUGUCACGCUGUCAUUUCAGUUUUGGUUUGUCUGGUCGUUAUAUCGUUAUGGUUACAAAUGAAAGGCAAACAGUUGAUAUUUUCAAGACUUCCAAGCGUUUUAAAGAGAACGUGUUGACGUGAGACGAAAUUAUUUGGAUAAAAUUGUCACUUUCGCUUUUGUUACUGGACGCCAGGUAACAUUGUGCCUUGUGCGUCGUUGCCAAAAUUUGAUUUCGUUUGCAGACGGCAGGCGGUCAAACGUCAUUCUGGAUGACUUUCGAUAGAAAGUUUGCAAGGGAUCGCCCCCUGUUACGUGCUUUGAUAAGCGUAAAUAGCGAAUACUGAUAAUAGCGUGUAAGAAAUAAACUAUCAGGUGCACUUCUUGCAGAGGUGCUACGUGUACCAUAUUCAUAUUUGCUCCUGUCAACUGUGUUGCGAAGAAGUUGAAUUCCGAAUGCACUGCGAAGAACAGGUAUUCCACGACUCUCUCUAAAAAAGUGGGCAGCGAGACAUACUUGAUGAUACCAUCUUCAACGUAGACGUCACCGUCCACAAUGGCGUCGUCGUUGACGAUCUUGCCUCCCUUGAUCAGUAUUCGAGUCUGGGCACUCUGCGGAAGAAGAAGAUAUGAGGUGAGAGAAGGGUCUCGCCUCCACAGCACCGACUCUCCUGGGCGUGAUGACGUCGUCGUUGGUGGGCGACACGAGGGCGCCUAAGAAGGCCUCGACGUCCUCGCGACGCAUUGAACCCAUAGCUAGGGACUUGGAGUCGUCCUUGUCGUGCACUGUGACAAACAUGGGCGAGUCGGCUGAUGAGCGCGGACGUCUUCGGCAGGCAGGGCUGCUCGAAGCCGACGACGACAACGACAUCUGCUGAUUGAAAGAGGUACAAGUGAAAAGUAUAGCGAGUAUAGUGGACGCAGGUAAUGUGUUUGUAUUAAAAUGCCACUGCGGACUAAAAGAACAUUA